AUUGAACGCUGGCGGCAGGCCUAACACAUGCAAGUCGAGCGGAUGAAGGGAGCUUGCUCCUGGAUUCAGCGGCGGACGGGUGAGUAAUGCCUAGGAAUCUGCCUGGUAGUGGGGGAUAACGUCCGGAAACGGGCGCUAAUACCGCAUACGUCCUGAGGGAGAAAGUGGGGGAUCUUCGGACCUCACGCUAUCAGAUGAGCCUAGGUCGGAUUAGCUAGUUGGUGGGGUAAAGGCCUACCAAGGCGACGAUCCGUAACUGGUCUGAGAGGAUGAUCAGUCACACUGGAACAAAAACCCGGACAAGACUCCGAGGGGGGGCAGCAGGGGGGAAUUUUGGACAAAGGGCGAAGGCCGGAUCCAGCCAGGCCGGGGGUGAAAGGAAGGUUUUGGAAUUUAAAACCAUUUUAAGUUGGGAGGAAGGGAAAUAAGUUAAUACCUUGCUGUUUUGACGUUACCAAAAAAAAAAGCCCCGGCAAACUUGGUC
rnacentral:rRNA from 1 species